AAGUCGAGCGGACAGAUGGGAGCUUGCUCCCUGAUGUUAGCGGCGGACGGGUGAGUAACACGUGGGUAACCUGCCUGUAAGACUGGGAUAACUCCGGGAAACCGGGGCUAAUACCGGAUGGUUGUUUGAACCGCAUGGUUCAAACAUAAAAGGUGGCUUCGGCUACCACUUACAGAUGGACCCGCGGCGCAUUAGCUAGUUGGUGAGGUAACGGCUCACCAAGGCAACGAUGCGUAGCCGACCUGAGAGGGUGAUCGGCCACACUGGGACUGAGACACGGCCCAGACUCCUACGGGAGGCAGCAGUAGGGAAUCUUCCGCAAUGGACGAAAGUCUGACGGAGCAACGCCGCGUGAGUGAUGAAGGUUUUCGGAUCGUAAAGCUCUGUUGUUAGGGAAGAACAAGUACCGUUCGAAUAGGGCGGUACCUUGACGGUACCUAACCAGAAAGCCACGGCUAACUACGUGCCAGCAGCCGCGGUAAUACGUAGGUGGCAAGCGUUGUCCGGAAUUAUUGGGCGUAAAGGGCUCGCAGGCGGUUUCUUAAGUCUGAUGUGAAAGCCCCCGGCUCA
rnacentral:rRNA from 1 species